GAUGAACGCUGGCGGCGUGCCUAAUACAUGCAAGUCGAGCGAACAGACGAGGAUCUUGCUCCUCUGACGUUAGCGGCGGACGGGCGAUUAACACGUGGAUAACCUACCUAUAAGACUGGGAUAACUUCGGGAAACCGGAGCUAAUACCGGAUAAUAUAUUGAACCGCAUGGUUCAAUAGUGAAAGACGGUUUUGCUGUCACUUAUAGAUGGAUCCGCGCCGCAUUAGCUAGUUGGUAAGGUAACGGCUUACCAAGGCAACGGUGCGUAGCCGAACUGAGAGGGUGAUCGGCCACACUGGAACUGAGACACGGUCCCGACUCCUACGGGAGGCAGCAGUAGGGAAUCUUCCGCAAUGGGCGAAAGCCUGACGGAGCAACGACGCGUGAGUGAUGAAGGUCUUCGGAGCGUAAAACUCUGUUAUUAGGGAAGAACAAAUGUGUAAGUAACUAUGCACGUCUUGACGGUACCUAAUCAGAAAGCCACGGCUAACUACGUG
rnacentral:rRNA from 1 species